ACGCUGGCGGCAGGCCUAACACAUGCAAGUCGAGCGGUAGAGAGAAGCUUGCUUCUCUUGAGAGCGGCGGACGGGUGAGUAAUGCCUAGGAAUCUGCCUGGUGGGGGAUAACGUUCGGAAACGGACGCUAAUACCGCAUACGUCCUACGGGAGAAAGCAGGGGACCUUCGGGCCUUGCGCUAUCAGAUGAGCCUAGGUCGGAUUAGCUAGUUGGUGAGGUAAUGGCUCACCAAGGCGACGAUCCGUAACUGGUCUGAGAGGAUGAUCAGUCACACUGGAACUGAGACACGGUCCAGACUCCUACGGGAGGCAGCAGUGGGGAAUAUUGGACAAUGGGCGAAAGCCUGAUCCAGCCAUGCCGCGUGUGUGAAGAAGGUCUUCGGAUUGUAAAGCACUUUAAGUUGGGAGGAAGGGCAGUUACCUAAUACGUGAUUGUUUUGACAUUACCGACAGAAUAAGCACCGGCUAACUCUGUGCCAGCAGCCGCGGUAAUACAGAGGGUGCAAGCGUUAAUCGGAAUUACUGGGCGUAAAGCGCGCGUAGGUGGUUUGUUAAGUUGGAUGUGAAAUCCCCGGGCUCAACCUGGGAACUGCAUUCAAAACUGACUGACUAGAGUAUGGUAGAGGGUGGUGGAAUUUCCUGUGUAGCGGUGAAAUGCGUAGAUAUAGGAAGGAACACCAGUGGCGAAGGCGACCACCUGGACUGAUACUCACACUGAGGUGCGAAAGCGUGGGGAGCAAAC
rnacentral:rRNA from 1 species